UGGGGAAUCUUGGACAAUGGGCGCAAGCCUGAUCCAGCCAUGCCGCGUGGAUGAUGAAGGCCUUAGGGUUGUAAAAUCCUUUCGUUGGGGACGAUAAUGACGGUACCCAAAGAAGAAGCUCCGGCUAACUUCGUGCCAGCAGCCGCGGUAAUACGAAGGGGGCUAGCGUUGUUCGGAUUUACUGGGCGUAAAGCGCGUGUAGGCGGGCUGGAAAGUUGGGGGUGAAAUCCCGAGGCUCAACCUCGGAACUGCCUCCAAAACUUCCAGCCUGGACUCAAGCAGAGGCAAGUGGAAUUGCGAGUGUAGAGGUGAAAUUCGUAGAUAUUCGCAGGAACACCAGUGGCGAAGGCGACUUGCUGGGCUUGUGGUGACGCUGAGACGCGAAAGCGUGGGGAGCAAAC
rnacentral:rRNA from 1 species